rnacentral:rRNA from 1 species
UGGGGAAUAUUGCACAAUGGGCGCAAGCCUGAUGCAGCCAUGCCGCGUGUGUGAAGAAGGCCUUCGGGUUGUAAAGCACUUUCAGCGGGGAGGAAGGCGAUAAGGUUAAUAACCUUGUCGAUUGACGUUACCCGCAGAAGAAGCACCGGCUAACUCCGUGCCAGCAGCCGCGGUAAUACGGAGGGUGCAAGCGUUAAUCGGAAUUACUGGGCGUAAAGCGAGCGCAGGCGGUUUCUUAAGUCUGAUGUGAAAGCCCCCGGCUCAACCGGGGAGGGUCAUUGGAAACUGGGAGACUUGAGUGCAGAAGAGGAGAGUGGAAUUCCAUGUGUAGCGGUGAAAUGCGUAGAUAUAUGGAGGAACACCAGUGGCGAAGGCGGCUCUCUGGUCUGUAACUGACGCUGAGGCUCGAAAGCGUGGGGAGCAAACAGG